GGGUGGGAAACAAUCUCGAUCACAAGGCUGCUCAAACACACUCUGUCCUCUGGGCUCUGGUGUCCAAGAGGUCUUCGUGUUCAUCUCAGAAACAGGAUCAUAAAUUAAAGGCCCUCUAAGACCCCUCUGUGUGGUCUAAGCAGGAGGAUGAGUGGAGGUGUGGCGCCCUCCUGACCUUCCCUCUGUCCACAUACGUCCCGCCCCCCCUGCUGAUGGGCAGAGUCUUGUGACUAGUCCUGGCCAAUGGACUUAGGGCAAGAGGGACCUGGUGACACCUGGCUGAGGUGGAGAAAAGCC
rnacentral:lncRNA from 10 species